UCUCAAGUCGAGCGGACAGAUGGGAGCUUGCUCCCUGAUGUUAGCGGCGGACGGGUGAGUAACACGUGGGUAACCUGCCUGUAAGACUGGGAUAACUCCGGGAAACCGGGGCUAAUACCGGAUGGUUGUUUGAACCGCAUGGUUCAGACAUAAAAGGUGGCUUCGGCUACCACUUACAGAUGGACCCGCGGCGCAUUAGCUAGUUGGUGAGGUAACGGCUCACCAAGGCGACGAUGCGUAGCCGACCUGAGAGGGUGAUCGGCCACACUGGGACUGAGACACGGCCCAGACUCCUACGGGAGGCAGCAGUAGGGAAUCUUCCGCAAUGGACGAAAGUCUGACGGAGCAACGCCGCGUGAGUGAUGAAGGUUUUCGGAUCGUAAAGCUCUGUUGUUAGGGAAGAACAAGUGCCGUUCAAAUAGGGCGGCACCUUGACGGUACCUAACCAGAAAGCCACGGCUAACUACGUGCCAGCAGCCGCGGUAAUACGUAGGUGGCAAGCGUUGUCCGGAAUUAUUGGGCGUAAAGGGCUCGCAGGCGGUUUCUUAAGUCUGAUGUGAAAGCCCCCGGCUCAACCGGGGAGGGUCAUUGGAAACUGGGGAACUUGAGUGCAGAAGAGGAGAGUGGAAUUCCACGUGUAGCGGUGAAAUGCGUAGAGAUGUGGAGGAACACCAGUGGCGAAGGCGACUCUCUGGUCUGUAACUGACGCUGAGGAGCGAAAGCGUGGGGAGCGAACAGGAUUAGAUACCCUGGUAGUCCACGCCGUAAACGAUGAGUGCUAAGUGUUAGGGGGUUUCCGCCCCUUAGUGCUGCAGCUAACGCAUUAAGCACUCCGCCUGGGGAGUACGGUCGCAAGACUGAAACUCAAAGGAAUUGACGGGGGCCCGCACAAGCGGUGGAGCAUGUGGUUUAAUUCGAAGCAACGCGAAGAACCUUACCAGGUCUUGACAUCCUCUGACAUCCUAGAGAUAGGACGUCCCCUUUCGGGGCAGAGUGACAGGUGUGCAUGGUUGUCGUCAGCUCGUGUCUGAGAUGUGGAUAGUCCCGCACGAGCGCACCCUGAUCUUAGUGCCAGCAUUCAGUGGCACUCUAAGUGACUGCGGUGGACAACGAGAGUGGGAUGACGUCAAUCAUCAUGCCCUUAUGACUGGGUCCUAACUGUCUACAUG
rnacentral:rRNA from 2 species